rnacentral:rRNA from 1 species
ACAAGGUCUCCGUUGGUGAACCAGCGGAGGGAUCAUUGCUGGAACGCGCCUCGGCGCACCCAGAAACCCUUUGUGAACUUAUACCUUAUUGUUGCCUCGGCGAAGGCCGGCCUCUCUUCUGAGGCCCCCCGGAGACGGGGAGCAGCCCGCCGGCGGCCAACCAAACUCUUGUUUCUUAGUGAAUCUCUGAGUAAAAAACAUAAAUGAAUCAAAACUUUCAACAACGGAUCUCUUGGUUCUGGCAUCGAUGAAGAACGCAGCGAAAUGCGAUAAGUAAUGUGAAUUGCAGAAUUCAGUGAAUCAUCGAAUCUUUGAACGCACAUUGCGCCCUCUGGUAUUCCGGAGGGCAUGCCUGUUCGAGCGUCAUUUCAACCCUCAAGCCUGGCUUGGUGUUGGGGCACUGCUUUGUCUCCAAAGCAGGCCCUGAAAUCUAGUGGCGAGCUCGCUAGGACCCCGAGCGUAGUAGUUAUAUCUCGUUCUGGAAGGCCCUGGCGGUGCCCUGCCGUUAAACCCCCAACUUC